rnacentral:lncRNA from 1 species
CCUACACUUUUUUUCUAACCGAACGCCAUAAUUCACCAUGAGAAGUAAACCUUUCCCAUUUAUCAUUAUAGCCAAGUGUUUAUUUUGUAAUAUAGGCGCAUAAUAUACCAAAUUACAUGGGGGCUCCUUUCUAAAUUAUUCCUCAUUUGCUAUUGACCUUAAAUCCAUUAUCCAUACACAUUUUCUGCAGCUCAUCAACAAAUAAUCCAUUACCUCACUGCAAUCCAAUGAUCUCACAAAACCCUAGUCCACUAUAUUUUACAAGUGAUACCAAAUCCUAUCAUAGUCAAUGAAUUUAUGUUGAAUAUAAGUCUCACAUCGGAUAAAUGAGAAAAGUUCAAUAUAUAAAGUGUGUAGUUUCAUUUUUAUUAACAUCGGAAUCUUUUGUGAUAAAAAUCAACACCUGACAAUUAAGUGAUUAAGUUAAAACAAUAUUAAUGAGGUUAUAAGUAGACCAAUGACCCAUCUCUUUAAAUAUCUAACAUAUUAGACAGCAACUCUAAGGCAAAAUUAGUAAGUAAAAGAAUGGGACUAAAGAGAAUCCACGUUUCAGGUUGGAAAGCUAGCUGAGUACAAGAUGGAAAAUAAAAUAAAUUUUUUUUCUCCCAAAAGGCAUCAUAUUUUAUUAAAUACAAAUUGAGACACUUAUAUCCUCUCUAAAACAAGGACCAAUGCAAUGCCAAGAAUAAGUGCCACCAUCCUUAAAAAUAAGAGACAGCACGGAGUGUGCUGCUCGAUUACCUUCUUUUAGGAUGGUUAAAAUUGAAUAUCGCAUGUGUUUUAUUUCAGUUUUUUAGCCAAAAUAGUUCAUAAGAUUUGCAUAACACAUCACUUUGCUUCUUGAAAUUUGAAAUCAAUAGAAGUGGUCGCUGAGAUUGUCCACUGUGGAGCCAAAAAUAUUCACAAGGCGACACGUGGAUUUUUGGACAAAAAGGACAAAAAUACCCUUGCAGUACAACGAGGUUCCUACGCGCAAGCAGCGGGCAACCCUCUUUCAACCAAGACAGAAGUGCCCAAAAUAGGUAACAAUUCAAAGUCCAUCUCAUCAAAUCCUAUCUACAAGG